rnacentral:rRNA from 1 species
GAAAAGCACUUGAAAAGAGAGUUAAAAGCACGUGAACCGUUGAAAGGGAAACGCGCUCGGCUAGCAAUGCACGCCUGUGGUUCAGCCGGCUAGUCCGGUGAGUUGUCGUCUGGCGGAUCCGAAUGGACCGUCGGCGGCAUCAUCGCUGGGCGAGCUGUGGUGCACUCCAUGGACGUGCGCGUCAGCGUCGGUUCCAGACGAGCGAUGAGGUGCGUGGGGGAAGGUAGCUCGGUUCCUCGGAAUUGAGUGUUAUAGACCCKGGCGCUGGGCUCGUGGUGGGACCGAGGAGAGAGAUGAUCGCUGCGGCACCUGCCUCUCGGGGCUAGCCAGUCGUUGUCAGAUGUGCGUCUGACGUUGAGGACUGCACGCAGUGCUCGAUGUCGAGUCGUGGUCUGGUGGCGGUGUGGGCAUAGAGGUGCCUAGGACGCUGGCGUCCAAAUGGCCGUGCGCGACCCGUCUUGAAACACGGAA